rnacentral:rRNA from 1 species
UACGUAGGGUGCAAGCGUUGUCCGGAAUUAUUGGGCGUAAAGAGCUCGUAGGCGGUCUGUUGCGUCGGCUGUGAAAACCCGGGGCUCAACCUCGGGCCUGCAGCCGAUACGGGCAGACUAGAGUUCGGCAGGGGAGACUGGAAUUCCUGGUGUAGCGGUGAAAUGCGCAGAUAUCAGGAGGAACACCGAUGGCGAAGGCAGGUCUCUGGGCCAUUACUGACACUGAGAAGCGAAAGCAUGGGGAGCGAACGGG